rnacentral:rRNA from 1 species
GACGAACGCUGGCGGCGUGCCUAAUACAUGCAAGUAGAACGCUGAAGAGAGGAGCUUGCUCUUCUUGGAUGAGUUGCGAACGGGUGAGUAACGCGUAGGUAACCUGCCUGGUAGCGGGGGAUAACUAUUGGAAACGAUAGCUAAUACCGCAUAAUAGUAGAUGUUGCAUGACAUUUGCUUAAAAGGUGCAAUUGCAUCACUACCAGAUGGACCUGCGUUGUAUUAGCUAGUUGGUGAGGUAACGGCUCACCAAGGCAACGAUACAUAGCCGACCUGAGAGGGUGAUCGGCCACACUGGGACUGAGACACGGCCCAGACUCCUACGGGAGGCAGCAGUAGGGAAUCUUCGGCAAUGGACGGAAGUCUGACCGAGCAACGCCGCGUGAGUGAAGAAGGUUUUCGGAUCGUAAAGCUCUGUUGUAAGAGAAGAACGAGUGUGAGAGUGGAAAGCUCACACUGUGACGGUAUCUACCAGAAAGGAC